GGUCUGAGAGGAUGAUCAGCCACACUGGAACUGAGACACGGUCCAGACUCCUACGGGAGGCAGCAGUGGGGAAUAUUGCACAAUGGGCGCAAGCCUGAUGCAGCCAUGCCGCGUGUGUGAAGAAGGCCUUCGGGUUGUAAAGCACUUUCAGUCGUGAGGAAGGUGGUAGUGUUAAUAGCACUAUCAUUUGACGUUAGCGACAGAAGAAGCACCGGCUAACUCCGUGCCAGCAGCCGCGGUAAUACGGAGGGUGCGAGCGUUAAUCGGAAUUACUGGGCGUAAAGCGCAUGCAGGUGGUUUGUUAAGUCAGAUGUGAAAGCCCGGGGCUCAACCUCGGAAUAGCAUUUGAAACUGGCAGACUAGAGUACUGUAGAGGGGGGUAGAAUUUCAGGUGU
rnacentral:rRNA from 1 species